rnacentral:lncRNA from 1 species
GUGCCUCCAAUCAUCGAUGGACAAUUCUGACAAAAGCGCUAGCCAAAGACAAGACACCAGCGCCUAAAAAACUAUCAGAAACACGUUGGUCAGUACAUGCUGGUGCAACAAGUGCUGUGCGGAAGGGUUACAAGAAUAUUCAAUCUGCUUAAGAAAUCAUUGCAAUUGAUGAUAGUACGAAAGGUGAAACUCGACAAGAUGCGCUUGGACUAGCAAAACGUUGAUGAAUUGGAAACUGUUACUUUGACAGUCUUUUGGGACAAGAUACUGCAAAGAUUCAAUAAAACAAUUCUAGUUUUACAAGGUGCCACUUUAGAUUUGAAUAAAGCUGGUUUGUUGCCUUCGUUGUCUAAAUAUGUUUAAUCGUUGUCUAUAUAUGUUUUAUCGUUGAGACGUUCAACAAAAUUGGAUAAAUUAGAGAAAUAUGGAAAAGAGUUGUCCAAAUGUGAAGUAUAUAAAAAAGAUUCAAAAAAAGAAAGUAAAAGUUUAAUGAAGGGAUGAAGUUGUUGGAUGAAAGAAGUAUUUUUGUUGUUGUUGCUAUUUCGAGACAAACUGGUGACUAAGGAGUUGAACAAGGUCCCAAAGUUUAGUAAUUUUAGAAGUAAAAGACCUCUGAGCUAUGGU